CAACGUCACCUGAUCCGAGUAUUCCCUAAUAACGUGAACAAUUAAUGGUGGAGAUGGUGAUCCCAGGUAACCAGAACAUCUGCCUCGCCACCUGGAGCAACACCGGCUAGGUACUGCAGUCCUGCAAAGGAAGGUGAACAGCAAGGAGCCUGGAGUACUGACAAGGCAGGAUUCUGGUCCAAAAUGGCAAAGUAGCUGUCCACAGACAGUGGAGCAGGAAAAUAUGAGUCUAGUGUUGUGUUAUUCUUUCUUACAGUACUUUCCACUCUACAUAAGCCUGAAAUGCUGGGGAAAUUUCUUCCUCAGAAUAAAAAAAAAAAAAAAAAAGAUAAAUUAUAAGAAGUUCAUCAUCUGCCUAGAAUGCUUUGAACAGGUAUCACUUAGCCACCACAAUCAACAUCUCAUGUUGCAGGGUGGAGUAGGAUAAUAAAUUUUAGCAUAUAAUGAUGUUACCAUAGUAUACAGGCCACUUGACAGUACUUGCAUCCUAUUCCAGAAAGUCAUCUUGUCUGUCUAAUCUGAAGCUCCCAAAUACUGCUAUGAAUAAAUCAACAGGUCUGGAAGCCUCGUGUUUUAGAAUUCAAAACUGCUGGAUAAGGAGCUCUCUGGUCCAUUUACACUAAGUUUUAAUAUACCCUGGAAGUCAAGGAAGUUUCAGAAGCAGAUUUUUUUAUCACCAUUUUCAAGGAGUGAUGUCUGAAGUAAUUAAAAUUUUCUCAACCUGAGUUUGAGCUCAUUUGAAAUUAACAGCACAUCUAGUACAGGACUUAAGUAGCCAGCUGAAAGGGAGGUAAUACAACAAAUUUUCCUUAAAAUUAUGGAAACUUUGUGUGAAUGCAAUUUUAUGUCAAUUUCAUAUCUUUCUGAUAACACAAAACUUGUUCUUUUUGUAACAGACUACAAUACUUUCUGAAACAUUAAAAUUAUUGAUUAAAAUAAAAGCUUUAAAAGCUGA